CCAAGCUCCUUCCUGUCUUCCUUUCCCUUUCAUCUACCUUUACCUCCCAACUAACUUCUUGCUCUUCAAUUCAUGUCUCCAGGUCUGCUCCUGAUAGAUGAAGAUUAAGAUACUGCCAAGGGAAGGAGGAAUAGGAAGUACCAUAUUAUUAUCCUUAUUUGGCAGCUGGGAAAACUGAAACAGAGAGGUUAAAUAAUCUGCCCAAGGCCACAGAGCUGAAGACUGUCUUCGGGCUCCUGGAAUCACUCUGCACAUGGACACACACACAGAGAUGGGGUGUAUGGACCCGGGUGUUUAUGUCUCCCUGGAGUAGACCUCAGUCAGUGACUGGCUGGUAGAGGAGAGGAAAAGCCCAGUUUUCCGGACAGCUAUGGGGCGUGCCUUCUGCUCCAGCAUUCCCAAUGAGAUUGGGAAGAAAGCUCUCCUCUGUGGACUUUUGCCUGAAAUCACAUCUUAGGUCCUUCCCUGGCCCACUUCCCCU
rnacentral:lncRNA from 1 species